AAUCCAUGAUUUGGACAUUUUCUAAGAAGAAAUUUGUAUCUCUCCCAUGCUUCACAUAAGGACUCAUAUAUUUCUUGAGAAAAAGUAGCAAUAGCUAACUUGGCACC